rnacentral:tRNA from 1 species
UCCCUGGUAGCUUGGGCAGUAAAGCGUCUGCCUAUAAUGCAGGAGACCCAGGUUCAAUCCCUGGGUCUGGAA